rnacentral:rRNA from 1 species
UACGGAGGGUGCAAGCGUUAUCCGGAUUCACUGGGUUUAAAGGGUGCGUAGGUGGCUUUGUAAGUCAGUGGUGAAAUGCCGGAGCUUAACUCCGGAACUGCCAUUGAUACUGCUUAGCUUGAUUCACGUCGAGGUGGAUGGAAUAUUACAUGUAGCGGUGAAAUGCUUAGAUAUGUAAUAGAACACCGAUUGCGAAGGCAGUUCACUAGGCGUGUAUUGACACUGAGGCACGAAAGCGUGGGGAUCAAACAGG